rnacentral:rRNA from 1 species
GAUUCCCCUAGUAACUGCGAGUGAAGCGGGAAAAGCUCAAAUUUAAAAUCUGGCGGUCCUUGGCCGUCCGAGUUGUAAUUUAGAGAAGCGUCUUCCGCGCCAGACCRUGCAAAAGUCUCCUGGAAUGGAGUGUCGUAGAGGGUGAGAACCCCGUCUUUGGCAUGGAUUCUUGGUGCUUCUGUGAUGCGCUCUCGAAGAGUCGAGUUGUUUGGGAAUGCAGCUCAAAAUGGGUGGUGAACUCCAUCUAAAGCUAAAUAUUGGCGAGAGACCGAUAGCGAACAAGUACCGUGAGGGAAAGAUGAAAAGCACUUUGGAAAGAGAGUGAAACAGUACGUGAAAUUGUUGAAAGGGAAACGUUUGAAGUCAGUCGCGUCGACCAAGACUCAGCCUUGCCUCGGCUUGGCGUUCUUCUUGGCUGACGGGCCAGCAUCAAUUUUGCCCCUUGGAUAAUGGCAAGGGAAAGGUGGCACCCUUACGGGGGUGUGUUAUAGUCUCCUGUCGCAUACAAGGGGUGGGAUUGAGGAACUCAGCACGCGCCUCUUGGYGUCGGGGCUUCGGCCCACGUUACGUGCUUAGGAUGUUGGCGUAAUGGCUUUAAACGACCCGUCUUGAAACACGGACCAAGGAGUCUAACAUGCCCGCGAGUGUUCGGGUGGAAAACCCGUGCGCGUAAUGAAAGUAAAAGUUGGGACCUCUGUCGUGGAGGGCACCGACGCCCGGACCAGACCUUCUGUGACGGAUCUGCGGUAGAGCGUGUAUGUUGGGACCCGAAAGAUGGUGAACUAUGCCUGAAUAGGGUGAAGCCAGAGGAAACUCUGGUGGAGGCUCGUAGCGAUUCUGACGUGCAAAUCGAUCGUCAAAUUUGGGUAUAGGGGCGAAAGACUAAUC